rnacentral:rRNA from 1 species
AUUGAACGCUGGCGGCAGGCUUAACACAUGCAAGUCGAGCGGAGUGAUGGUGCUUGCACUAUCACUUAGCGGCGGACGGGUGAGUAAUGCUUAGGAAUCUGCCUAUUAGUGGGGGACGACAUCUCGAAAGGGAUGCUAAUACCGCAUACGUCCUACGGGAGAAAGCAGGGGAUCACUUGUGACCUUGCGCUAAUAGAUGAGCCUAAGUCGGAUUAGCUAGUUGGUGGGGUAAAGGCCUACCAAGGCGACGAUCUGUAGCGGGUCUGAGAGGAGGAGCCGCCACACUGGGACUGAGACACGGCCCAGACUCCGACGGGAGGCAGCAGUGGGGAAUAUUGGACAAUGGGGGGAACCCUGAUCCAGCCAUGCCGCGUGUGUGAAGAAGGCCUUAUGGUUGUAAAGCACUUUAAGCGAGGAGGAGGCUCUUUUGGUUAAUACCCAAGAUGAGUGGACGUUACUCGCAGAAUAAGCACCGGCUAACUCUGUGCCAGCCGCCGCUGUAA